rnacentral:tRNA from 1 species
UCCCUAGUAGCUCAGAUGGUAAAGCAUCUGCUUGCAAUGCAGGAGACCUGGGUUCAAUCCCUGGGUCAGGAA